GACGAACGCUGGCGGCGUGCUUAACACAUGCAAGUCGAGCGGAGCGGCGAACGGGUGAGUAACGCGUGAGUACCUGCCCCCCUCUCUGGGAUAACAGUUGGAAACGGCUGCUAAUACCGGAUAGUGGGGGAUGCCUCGCGGCCUAUCAGCUUGUUGGUGGGGUAGGGGCCUACCAAGGCGACGACGGGUAGCCGGCCUGAGAGGGCGACCGGCCAAAUUGGGCUGAGGAACGGCCCAAACGGAUACGGGAGGCAGGAGUGGGGAAUAUUGCAAAAUGGGGGAAACGCUGAUGGAGGAACGCCGGGUGCGGGAUGACGGGCUUCGGGUUGUAAACCGCUUUCAGCGAUGACGCGGUAGUGGCAGAAGAAGCACCGGCUAACUACGUGCCAGCAGCCGCGGUAAUAC
rnacentral:rRNA from 1 species